rnacentral:rRNA from 1 species
GUGGGGAAUCUUCCGCAAUGGGCGAAAGCCUGACGGAGCGACGCCGCGUGGGGGACGAAGGCCUUCGGGUCGUAAACCCCUGUCAGAGGGAAAGAAGGGUACCGGCGUGAAUAGCGCCGGUAUUUGACGGUACCCUCAGAGGAAGCCACGGCCAACUCCGUGCCAGCAGCCGCGGUAAUACGGAGGUGGCAAGCGUUGCUCGGAAUCACUGGGCGUAAAGGGCGCGUAGGCGGGGAGGUAAGUCGGGUGUGAAAUCCCUCGGCCCAACCGAGGAACUGCGCCCGAGACUGCUUCUCUUGAGUCCCGGAGAGGAAGAUGGAAUUCCCGGUGUAGCGGUGAAAUGUGUAGAGAUCGGGAGGAACACCGGUGGCGAAGGCGGUCUUCUGGACGGUGACUGACGCUGAGGCGCGAAAGCGUGGGGAGCAAACGGGAUUAGAAACCCCAGUAGUCC